rnacentral:rRNA from 1 species
GAUGAACGCUGGCGGCGUGCCUAAUACAUGCAAGUCGAGCGAACAGACGAGGAGCUUGCUCCUCUGACGUUAGCGGCGGACGGGUGAGUAACACGUGGAUAACCUACCUAUAAGACUGGGAUAACUUCGGGAAACCGGAGCUAAUACCGGAUAAUAUAUUGAACCGCAUGGUUCAAUAGUGAAAGACGGUUUUGCUGUCACUUAUAGAUGGAUCCGCGCCGCAUUAGCUAGUUGGUAAGGUAACGGCUUACCAAGGCAACGAUGCGUAGCCGACCUGAGAGGGUGAUCGGCCACACUGGAACUGAGACACGGUCCAGACUCCUACGGGAGGCAGCAGUAGGGAAUCUUGCGCAAUGGGCGAAAGCCGGACGGAGCAACGCCGCGUGAGUGAUGAAGGUCUUCGGAUCGUAAAACUCUGUUAUUAGGGAAGAACAAAUGUGUAAGUAACUAUGCACGUCUUGACGGUACCUAAUCAGAAAGCCACGGCUAACUACGUG